UACAGACGGUCCAAACGUUAUUCGGAAUCACUGGGCUUAAAGAGUUCGUAGGCGGUCAGGAAAGUGGGGUGUGAAAGCCCUCGGCUUAACCGAGGAAUUGCGCUCCAAACUCCCUGACUUGAGGAGGCUAGAGGUAAGCGGAACUGAUGGUGGAGCGGUGAAAUGCGUAGAGAUCGGGAAGAACACCGGUGGCGAAAGCGCUCUGCUGGGCCACAACUGACACUCAGGGACGAAAGCUAGGGGAGCGAAAGGG
rnacentral:rRNA from 1 species